rnacentral:rRNA from 1 species
GAUGAACGCUAGCUACAGGCUUAACACAUGCAAGUCGAGGGGCAGCAUGACAGGUGCUUGCACUUGUUGAUGGCGACCGGCGCACGGGUGCGUAACACGUAUCCAAUCUACCCAUGGCUCAGGGAUAGCCUUGCGAAAGUAAGAUUAAUACCUGAUGGUUUCAUUCUCCGGCAUCGGGGUAUGAAUAAAGAUUUAUCGGCGAUGGAUGAGGAUGCGUCCGAUUAGCUUGACGGCGGGGUAACGGCCCACCGUGGCUACGAUCGGUAGGGGUUCUGAGAGGAAGGUCCCCCACACUGGAACUGAGACACGGUCCAGACUCC